rnacentral:lncRNA from 10 species
CUCAAUAAUUGUGUGUGUGUGCAUGUGUGCAUGUGUACGUGUGAGUGCCUGUGUGUGUGCAUUGUGUGUAGGGGCUGGGGCUGGAGUCGACAACAGAUCAGAGCACAGGAGUAGAGCGCUUCUGGGAGGGUGGGGCCACCCGUGAGUCACGUCCUGCACCCUGGAGCCCAGAGGACCCUUCGCUCAAACCCACCACCAGCUGGCAACACCGGACCAGACCAGCCGGAGCCGCUUUCUUCGCUGCGCAGAGGAGCCUGGGAGAAGCCAGAGGUGCUUGAGGAUGGAUUCUUGGCUCCUGGUGCAUUGCCACUCCCUGCCACCCUCCUCCUUGUCUUCUAUCUUCUCCUGGUGGCGUCAGGCCUUGCUUCGUGUCCCAACAGGAGCCUCUGGGGCUGGCACAGCCCUCACUGCCUACAACCUGGGCCUGGUGGUUCUCCUAGGGUGCCUCUGGGAGGUCAUGGUCACCCCGCUGCUGGCUAACUGCAGCUACUUCUGCCAGCCAGUGGACUACAGAUGGAGAAAGCAUGGAAUGAGGGUAUGGCAGGGAGCAGGAAGCAAGCCUGGAGAGGGUUAGGAGGAACAACUUCAUAACAAUCGGAGGUCAAGGAGGCAUCUUCCUGGAGACAGGAAGGUAGGCACUGUGGAAUCAGCGGUGCGUAGAACAGUGAGGAUUUGGGGCUGAACCCAGCCCAGGUGGGCCAAGCCGUGGCACCAGCCGGACUGCAGUCUGAUGGAACUUCCCCUUCCUGCCCAGCAGAUGGCGAGCGUGUGCUGCUGGUGCCUCUUUCCAAAGGACGUUGAAUUGCUUGACAGGUGUUCUUUACUUUAUGAAUGAAGCCAGAGCAGCCCACCUUCCUGCAUCUCUACCACCAUGGCACCAUGCCCUGUGAUGGGUGGGCUGGAGUCAAAUAUGUAGCAGGCAGCCAGGGUCAGUUUGUGGCCACUGCUGCCCCCUCUUCCUACAGUCUCCUCACUGAGUGCCCCUUCCCUGUUGGGUUCAACACAUCUGUGCUCCUGUAAGCCCUCAGCCUCCUCGUUCUCUUCCUCAACUUCUACCACCAGACACAUCUGAGAAGCAAGCAAGAGAGGCUGAACUAGGAGCAGGACCCAGGGACUGAAACCAGCACAGCAUCCCCACAGAGAAUUGGGUGGAAGGCAGCAUGGCUUCCAGCUUACUGGUGCUGAGCAGAUUGCUCUGGGUCUCCAUUGUAUCCUCUGAAGGAAGGAGGAGGAUUGCCUUCUGUCCAGAUCUCAGGAUCAAACAAAUAGGUCCAAUUUCCUGUGCUCACUUCAGUUAGAGCACUUCUCAUGUGACUUUGUAGCUUUGUGUGCAUCUCCUUCCUCUACUAGACCUAAGCCCCUCACGGGAGGGACUCUCUUAUUCUUGA